ensembl:lncRNA
CUUUUUAACUCAAUAAAUUUUAUUACAUUUAUAGUUGUACAAUGAUCAUCACAACCCAAUAUUAUAGCAUUUCCAUCCCUAAUCCCCAGCCCAUCCUCCCAACUCUCCACCCUGUCUCCUUUGGAAACAUAAAUUUUUCAAAGUCUGUGAGUAAGGAUCUGUUCAGCAAAGAAGUUCGUUGUAUCCUUUUUUUUAGAUUCCACAUAUAAGUGAUAGCAUAUGAUGUUGGUGUCUCCUGUAUGACUAACUUCACUUAGCCUGAUAAUUUCUAGGUCCAUCCAUGUUGCUGCAGAUGCCAUUAUUUCGCUCCUUUUAAUGGGUAAGUAAUAUUCCAUUGUGUAUAUGUACCACAUCUUCUUUAUCCAUGCCUCUAUCAAUGGACAUUUAGGUUGCUUCCAUGUCUUGGCUAUUGCAUAGAGUGCUGCAAUGAACAUUGGAGUACAUGUAUAUUUUUGAGUCAUGGUUUUCUCUGGAUAGCUGUCCAGGAGUGGGAUUGCUGGAUCAAAUGGUAGUUCUAUUUUUAGUUUUUUGGAGAAAUCUCCAUACUGUUUUCCAUAGUGGUCACACCAAUUUACAUUCCCACCAACAGUUUAAGAGGGAUCCCUUUUCUCUAAACCCUCUCUAGUAUUUAUUGUUUGUAGACUUUUUGAUGAUGGCCAUUCCGGCUGGUAUAAGGUGGUACUUCAUAGUAGUUUUGAUUUGCAUUUCUCUAAUAACUAGUGAUGUUGAACAUCUUUUCAUGUGGUUUUUGGACAUCUGUAUGUCUUCUUUUGAGAAUUUUCUGUUUAGAUCUCCUGCCCAUUUUUGAUGGGGUGGUUUGGUUUCUGCAGGAGGUGUUUAUAAAUUUCGCAGAUUAAUCCCUUGUAAGUAGCUUCAUUUGCAAAUAUUUUCUCCCAUUCUGUGUCUCUUCAUUUUGUUUUUGGUUUCCAUCCUUAAUUAUAAUUAAAUUAAGGACCCUACUUCAAUCAGUCUGCAAUAUUCCUUUCGCCAUGUGAGAUAACAUGUUCUUAGGUUUCAGGGAUUAGGACAUAGACAUUUAGGAGGGAGGGUGCAUUUUUUACCUAACACUGAUGGCUCAAAUUUUUUUAAUUGACAUAUAACAUUGUGUUAGUUUCAGCUGUACAAUGUAAAUGACAUAAGUGCAUGUUGCAAAAUAUCUAGCACUUCACAUCACAAAUUUUUUUAUUGCAAUGACAACUGUUAAGAUCUAGCAUCUUAGCACCUUUCAAGUUUACAAUACAGUAUUGUUAACUGUGGUCACCAGGCUGUACUUUACACACCCAGAACUUAUUUAUCAUAUAAUCAGAAGUAUCUUUUUACUGCCUUCAUCCAUUUCAUUCAUCCUCCAUCUCCAUCUCUGGCAGCCACCAAUCUGGUCUCUGCAGUUAUGAGUUCAGGUUUUUUUUUAGAUUCCAUAUAUAUAUAUAUAUUUUUCUUUCUCUGUCUGAUUUAUUUCACUUAACAUAAUGCCUUCAAGGUCCAUCCAUGUUUUUGCAAAUGGCAAGAUUUCCUUCUUUUUAUGACCAAAUAAUAUUAUAUGGUACAUAGCCAGUGACUCUUGAGAGCCUGGAGAAAAUAAUGGCCCAUGUGGAUAGAAAUAGAAAUGCCUAAGUUUUCCUGGAAAAUGAUAGAGAAAAUUAAAAUGUUCAGAUAGAUGGCAUGCUAGAUGGCGAGACGGUGAGUCUGAAAGACUCCCCAGACAAGGCCUCAGAGUACACACCAUAAGGAACGUACUGGUAAGAGGGGCUCUGACAUGGCUAAGAAGCCCAGUAGUGGCUGAUGGUAGGAGAGGUAGUCACAGAGCUGCAUUGUUAGCAUAUGUGAGGGUGAUGGGCCCCAAAGCAAUAGAGGCCAAUAGACAGCAUUUAAAUGCCAGAAAUCAGGAAACUGCAUUACUUUAAUAACCACCAACAUCAGAGGGGCAAUCAAGGGUCUUGACCCACACCAAAUUGUGGAAAUGGUUAAUAGAACAUUCUAUGUAUUCUACAUUCUAUUCAAAUAUUCCAUAGCACUCCUGUAAGCAAAAUAGGCAGCCAAAGAGGAUGGUGCUUAAUAAGAACAAAAGGAAAAAACCAGCAGACCAGAGCAGGAGGCUGAGAUCAGGUGUGCCAAUGAGAAGACCCUUGCUAAGUUCCCAGACUCAAAUGAAUUUUCAAAUCCAAGAUUCAUUGACUGAAGAAGUGGCCACGUCCCAAAAGGAAUGGCUCUGCAACACUGUGGUAAGAAUACAGUGUAAUGAUCUACUUCCCAGAUGAGACCUACAACUGUUUACUCAUGCAUUUACUGUGUGCUGGAGAGAGGAGGACCCAGAGACUUUGAAGACUAUUGAACACAGAAUUUGAGUUGACAUUGAGACUCAGAGACCCCCAAAUUCAUUGUUGACUCCUGUUAAAGUCAGACCUACCAAGUGUCAGGCAAUAAAUGGAGACCUAUUGAAGUCUGGCUUAUAAGCCCUCUACCAGGUCCACAGACUCACCCAGUGGUCACUGCCAUUUAAAUGAGCCAGUGGUGCUGGACAAUAGGCUUUCUGGGGAAAGAAAGGGGAGAAAAGUAUAAUGCCUGGUAGGCCUUUGUGUUCUGGAGACCAUGUAUCACUCACUUAGAAAUAAUGUUAGUCAAUAUUCUAGGUAUGAGAAGGUGCCAGCUUGAGCGGGACCUGGCGUAAGAAAGGGCUCUGAAACAGGUCCAGGCUGCAGCAGGAGCAGCUCUGUCCCUUGGGCCAUAUGAACCAGAAGACCCAGCAGUGCUGGAAGUGUCAGUAGUGGUAAAAGACAUAGUGUUCAGUGUAUGGAAAGCCCUAAGGAGGCAUCUGUUGUGUGUAUAUGUUGGGAUCUGGAGCUGGGCCACGUCGUCGGAAGUGAAGAAACAGCUCUGAGCUUGAUAUUCUGGAUCUCAUUUGGCUCAACUCAGCCUCAAGAGUGAGAUACACUUACUUCCUUUUAACACAUGAGGAAACUGAAAGUCUGAGAACCGCACAGAAAGCGAGAGAUAUAUCCAGGAACCAGGAUUCAAAGAGCCCGUCUUUGCCUGUUCUCUAUGCUAAAGGCCUACUCUCAUCUAACUUCCCUCUACAAAGUACCCAAAAUAUUCUACCUAAAAAUAGCUUCUGGACAAGUGACCUUCUCGAGCUCUCUGUUCUCAAUAGCUGUACUUUAUUGGAAAGCUACAAAAUCUAGGAGCCCUUUGGGAAACUGACUUUGAAAAUUGAAUCUCAGUGAAUUAGGCUAUAAAUUCUGCUCUCACGGCCAAGAAACUCAGAGCCUGGAAUAGACCUGGGAAGAGACUAAAGGUGAAGCAUCUUAGGCAACUUAAGAACUCCCUAGAGGCAUCCAUUCUCUCCAAGUAUUCUCCAAAACUAGGGCAUCUUUGCAAGUAAUUGGUUAAGUUGUAGAGGAGUGACACACAAAGACUACCUACCACAGCAGGCCAGCAGUUCUUACCUCCAGGAGAAGAGAAUCUCUUGCUUCUACAAGAGCAGACUUUAAAAGAGUCUCUACCCCAGGGAAAUGCUUUGAAAGCAGGGCCUGGUGACUCCCAUCCCCUUCCCACGGAGAAGAUUCUUUCCUCAGCCAUUUGAAACCUGGAAGGCCCUGCUGAGAGGCCAUGUGAUACAACUGGGAACAGCAUGUUCCUAGGAAUCAGGCAGGCCAUGUUCCAUACCAAUGUGCUUUGCAAAAGUUGCCUCAGUCCUCUCAACAACUUCCUCUCUAAGGGAUAAAAUCAGAUGACCAUAAUGAUGCGUAAAUCAGUUAACACAGUGAAGCAUCUAGCACUGUGUCUGGCAUAUUAAAGACCAAUACUUGAAAUACUUUUAAAAUAAUAAUCAAAUAAGCUUUGUUUAAACUAAAUUUAAGAAACAUUGAAUUAAACAAAGUUAAAUAGAUAUCUUGCCUUCAGAGCGUCUAAAACCCCUACUAUGCUCAUAUACAUUGUGAGUCUCUGAGAGAGGGCUUGGGCAUAUAAAUAGCAGUUCCCAAAUUUACUGGAUCAAGAAACUUUUUUGGGGAUACCGGUAUAAACAGUACCACAAAUACCAACUUCAAGCAAAAUCUGAUAGGCCCUUAACAAACCAUACUUGUGGCUACAAGGACAUCAGAAGUGUACUUGGGAUUUGGGAUUUUAAUCUUCAACUCUAUCAUGUAAAAU